rnacentral:rRNA from 1 species
AAUACGACUCUCGGCAACGGAUAUCUCGGCUCUCGCAUCGAUGAAGAACGUAGCGAAAUGCGAUAUGUGGUGUGAAUUGCAGAAUCCCGUGAACCAUCGAGUCUUUGAACGCAAGUUGCGCCCGAAGCCUUCUGGCCGAGGGCACGCCUGCCUGGGUGUCAUGC